ACUCCGAUGCUGAAGCGGUUAUCAUGCUUGCCUUCCGUGUGUAUAAGCAAGCGUCAGGGGUUCGACUCCCCUUCGGUGUA